UACGUAGGGCCCGAGCGUUAUCCGGUAUUAUUGGGCGUAAAGCGUACGUAGGCGGUUUGGUAAGACAAUGGUUAAAGCUCCGAGCCUAACUCGGAAAAUCGCCGUUGUGACUGCCAGACUAGUCGGUAGCAGGGGCAAGCGGAAUUCUCGGUGUAGGAGUGAAAUCCGUUGAGAUCGAGAAGAACACCAAUGGCGAAGGCAGCUUGCUAGGCUAUCUGAGACGCUG
rnacentral:rRNA from 1 species